rnacentral:rRNA from 1 species
UCGNGCGGAACGAGUUANCUGANCCUUCGGGGAANGUUAACGGCGNCNANCGNCGGACGGGUGAGUAAUGCCUGGGAAAUUGCCCUGAUGUGGGGGAUAACCAUUGGAAACGAUGGCUAAUACCGCAUAAUAGCUUCGGCUCAAAGAGGGGGACCUUCGGGCCUCUCGCGUCAGGAUAUGCCCAGGUGGGAUUAGCUAGUUGGUGAGGUAAUGGCUCACCAAGGCGACGAUCCCUAGCUGGUCUGAGAGGAUGAUCAGCCACACUGGAACUGAGACACGGUCCAGACUCCUACGGGAGGCAGCAGUGGGGAAUAUUGCACAAUGGGCGCAAGCCUGAUGCAGCCAUGCCGCGUGUAUGAAGAAGGCCUUCGGGUUGUAAAGUACUUUCAGCAGUGAGGAAGGUGGUGUCGUUAAUAGCGGCAUCAUUUGACGUUAGCUGCAGAAGAAGCACCGGCUAACUCCGUGCCAGCAGCCGCGGUAAUACGGAGGGUGCGAGCGUUAAUCGGAAUUACUGGGCGUAAAGCGCAUGCAGGUGGUUUGUUAAGUCAGAUGUGAAAGCCCGGGGCUCAACCUCGGAAUUGCAUUUGAAACUGGCAGACUAGAGUACUGUANAGGGGGGUAGAAUUUCAGGUGUAGCGGUGAAAUGCGUAGAGAUCUGAAGGAAUACCGGNGGCGAAGGCGGCCCCCUGGNCAGAUACUGACACUCAGAUGCGAA